AUUGAACGCUGGCGGCAGGCCUAACACAUGCAAGUCGAACGAGUGGCGGACGGGUGAGUAAUGUGUGGGAACCUGCCUGGUGGAGGGGGAUAACUACUGGAAACGGUGGCUAAUACCGCAUACCAUCGGAUGUGCCCAUAUGGGAUUAGCUAGUAGGUGGGGUAAAGGCUCACCUAGGCGACGAUCCCUAGCUGGUCUGAGAGGAUGACCAGCCACUCUGGAACUGAGACACGGCCCAGACUCCUACGGGAGGCAGCAGGGGGGAAUAUUGUACAAUGCGCGCAAGCCUGAUGCAGCCAUGCCGCGUGUAUUAAGAAGGCCUUCGGGUUGUAAAUUACGUUCAGCGGGUAGGCGUUACCCGCAGAAGAAGCACCGGCUAACUCCGUGCAAGCAGCCGCGGUAAUUC
rnacentral:rRNA from 1 species